rnacentral:rRNA from 1 species
UACGUAGGGACCGAGCGUUGUCCGGAAUCAUUGGGCGUAAAGAGCGUGUAGGCGGCUAUUUAAGUCCUGCGUGAAAUCCUGCGGCUCAACCGCAGACGGUCGUGGGAAACUGGAUGGCUAGAGUGCGGGAGAGGAGAGUGGAAUUCCCGGUGUAGCGGUGAAAUGCGCAGAUAUCGGGGAAGAACACCCGUGGCGAAGGCGGGGUCUCUGGGCCGUAACUGACGCUGAGGAGCGAAAGCGUGGGGAGCAAACAGG